AGUAGGGAACACUGGGUUACAUGGGGACACUGAGAUACAUGAUGACACUGGGAGAUAUGGUGUCCCCAUGUAACCCAGUGUUCCCUAC